GACAGAGGUGCCGAGCGUUUAGGCGGAAUCACUGGGCUUAAAGCGUGUGUAGGCGGGUCGUUAAGUGUCUUGUGAAAUCCCCCGGCUCAACCGGGGAAUGGCUGGGCAUACUGGCGAUCUUGAGCAGUCUAGGGGCAGAUGGAACAAGUGGUGGAGCGGUGAAAUGCGUAGAUAUCACUUGGAACGCCAACGGUGAAGACAGUCUGCUGGGGACUUGCUGACGCUGAGACACGAAAGCCAGGGGAGCGAACGGG
rnacentral:rRNA from 1 species